CCCUUGAAUUAAUAUCAUGAUAUUAUUUUUUAUGUCUUACAGUAUUUAGAUGAUCUGGCUACUGUUGGUAAAGAUGAAUUUCAUUUAACCACACCUUAUAGGGAGGGGUACCUCGUCAAACGAGCUUUAGCAAGGAAAAAGAUUUCGGUGAAAAAUUUUAAGAAAAGAUAUUUUGUUUUAUCCGAUGCUGGCCUCUCCUACAGUAAAGCAAGAGGUGAUCUUAUUAUUAAUGUUAUUCCACUGGAGGAUAUGCUGGCAGUUGAAAGAGUUGAUGAAACAGCAUUUAACAUGAAAUUUAUGCUACAGCUAAUACAGCCUGAGAGAGUUCUGUACUUGCAAGCUAAGAACAGUGUGGACCAAUUGGAAUGGUUAUCGGCACUUGCUAAAGCCUGUUAUGUUCAUCACAGUGACACUAUGGUAUCAUCAGUACACAGAGGGUCAUUCACUUGCAGUCAAUGGUCAUGACCUUGUACAGGGACUUUGGCCUGAUUUUGGAGCA